rnacentral:rRNA from 1 species
UACGUAGGUGACGAGCGUUAUCCGGAAUUAUUGGGCGUAAAGCGCACGCAAGCGGUUCUGCAAGUCUGACGUGAAAUCUCCUGGCUUAACUGGGAGCGGUCGUUGGAAACUGCGGAGCUUGAGGCGAUGAGAGGGGUGCAGAAUUCCCGGUGUAGUGGUGGAAUGCGUAGAGAUCGGGGGGAAUACCUGUGGCGAAAGCGGCACCCUGGCGUCGUACUGACGCUCACGUGCGAAAGCGUGGGGAGCGAACGGG